rnacentral:rRNA from 1 species
AUUGAACGCUGGCGGAAUGCUUUACACAUGCAAGUCGAACGGCAGCACGGACUUCGGUCUGGUGGCGAGUGGCGAACGGGUGAGUAGUGUAUCGGAACGUGCCCAGUCGUGGGGGAUAACGUAGUGAAAAUUACGCUAAUACCGCAUACGAUCUAUGGAUGAAAGCGGGGGAUCGCAAGACCUCGCGCGAUUGGAGCGGCCGAUAUCAGAUUAGGUAGUUGGUGGGGUAAAGGCCCACCAAGCCAACGAUCUGUAGCUGGUCUGAGAGGACGACCAGCCACACUGGAACUGAGACACGGUCCAGACUCCUACGGGAGGCAGCAGUGGGGAAUUUUGGACAAUGGGCGAAAGCCUGAUCCAGCCAUUCCGCGUGCAGGAUGAAGGCCCUCGGGUUGUAAACUGCUUUUGUACAGAACGAAAAGGUUUCUACUAAUACUAGGAGCUCAUGACGGUACUGUAAGAAUAAGCACCGGCUAACUACGUGUCAGCCGCCGCGGUAA